rnacentral:lncRNA from 1 species
UCCUGUCUCAGCACCAAAGGCACCGGGAAGGAUCCAAGUGACUGCCUCUCACCUGUAAUCUAGCCAAGAUACUGGCUUUCUUGGAGUUGGAGGAGUAGCUCCUGGAGCAGGAGACGCUGCAGAACCUCUUGGUCUUGGAGAAGAAGGCUUCCCUUGUACCCACGAUACCACACAUCUCACAGACAGCUGGGAAGAGAACUUAGCACAUGACUCACCCGAUAUGGCCACCUCAAAGCAAACAAAGUGAUGGGCCCUUCAAAACCUGGGGCACUGCAUUAACCAGGUGAGCCCCUGCCCCCACAAAGGCUAAUGGAAUAAGAGGAGGAAUGGGAGGUACUGGUGUGUAUAUCCUGAAUCUACCUGAAUGAAGUGCUGCUGCUUGGCCUCCCUUGGCUACAGAUGUCAACAGAGGGGCUGAUGGAAAUCCAUGAGGACGACUGGGGGAACAGGGGACACUCUGAAGGCACCUGGCUCAGAACCACUGCCAUCCAAGGAGCGAGGAGUCCCAGGGCUGAGCAAAUGCAGCGGGGAGGUCGGCAGUUCCCCUGCUUCCCGAUCCUCAUUUUCUGCUUCACUUGACUCCUCCAGAUAGGAGCUGCUGUCACUGCCCACACUGCUGUUAUAACUCCGGAAACUAUCAUAGCCACCAAACAGCUCCAAGUCGUCAUCUUCCUCUUCCUCCAUUGGCUCUGAAGAUGGGGUCUCCUAAUGGAGGAUGACACAAACCAGGUAGAAAGAAUUAUGAUUGGCUUUAGUGCACGGGGGGAGAAGCUGCAGAUCUGCUAUCAGCCCCCUCACACUUUCGGGAACCUUUCAAAUACCCCUUUUACAAACACCAAGAUCAUUACUCCUAUUUACACAUUUCUCCACCAUGAUGCAAUUCAACAGCUUAACAAGACAGAAAAUAUGUGUUAGGAAUUCACCAGGCUCCUCUGUGGAUUUACAAAUGAUGAUAUUUUAACAUGGUUCAAAUAGAAUACUGUAUAACAAUGUGGGCCAGGUGCGGUGGCUCAUGCCUGUAAUCCUAGCACUUUGGGAGGCCGAGGCUGGCAGAUCACCUGAGGUCAGGAGUUCGAGACCAGCCUGGCCAAGAGGGUGAAACCCUGUCUCUACAAAAAAAUACAAGAAAAAGUUAGCCAGGCGUGGUGGCGGGCACCUGUAGUCCAGCUACUUGGGAGGCUGGGGCAGAGAGGCAAAGGUUGUAGUGGGCCAAGAUCGUGCCACUGCACUCCAGUCUGCAUGACAGAGCAAGACGCUAUCUCAAAAAAAAAAAAAAAAAGUGAAAUAUCCUAAGGUACUUCACAAAGACUUUCUGGGGUAGAAGAUAUAUUAGAAAUUAAUUCUUAGCCAGGCACAGUGGCCCACACCUGUAAUCCCAGCACUUUCCGAGGCCAAGGUGGGUGGAUCACGAGGUCAGGAGUUCAAGACCAACCUGGCCAAGAUGGUGAAACCCCGUCUCUACUAAAAAUACAAAAAUUGGCUGGGUGUGGUGGCGGGUGCCUGUAAUCCCAGGUACUUGGGAAGCUGAGGCAGAGAAUUGCUUGAACCCGGGAGGUGGAGGUUGCAGCGAGCUAAGAUCGCGCCACUGCACUCCAGCCUGGUGACGGAGUGAGAUGCUGUCUCAAAAAGAAAAACAAAAAUUCUUCCCCGUUCAAUAUACAUCAAAAUGAUCUCAACUCAGAAACAAUUUAAGUCACAGAAAAGUUAAUUUGGGACCUAGACUGCUCCAAAGAGGAUCGGAGAGGCAGAUGACACACAGAUAACUAUGGCAUCUUGGUGUGU